rnacentral:tRNA from 1 species
GACCGUAUAGCUCAGUUGGUUAGAGUGCUUCCUUGACAUGGAAGAGGUCAGAGGUUCGAGUCCUCUUACGGUCA